rnacentral:rRNA from 1 species
ACGUGAGAUACGAGACUAGUUUUUCAGCAAUGAAAAGCGAAGUGAAUGAUUCUCGGCUUCCGAGAAAAACCCCUAAGUGAGCAUAAUCUGUUCCCGUACCGUAAACCGACACAGGUGGGUGGGAAGAAUAUUCCAAGGCGUUGAGAAAACUUUGGUUAAGGAACUAGGCAAAAUGACACCGUAACUUCGGGAGAAGGUGUGACCACUUUUGUGAGUAACCUCGCGUUACAGAGCAUCGGUGGUUCGCAGUGAAUGGUGGGAAGCGACUGUUUAACAAAAACACAGGACUAUGCGAAGUUGAAAGACGAUGUAUAUGGUCUGACGCCUGCCCGGUGCUGGAAGGUUAAGGCAAGCUGUCAUCCGCAAGGAGAAGCAGUGAACUGAAGCCCCAGUAAACGGCGGCCGUAACAAUAACGGUCCUAAGGUAGCGAAAUUCCUUGUCGGGUAAGUUCCGACCUGCACGAAGGGCGUAACGACUUCCCAGCUGUCUCGACCAAGGACUCAGCGAAUUAGAAAUGCUGGUGCAGAUGCCAGCUACCCGUGGCAAGACGGAAAGACCCUGUGCACCUUUACUAUAGCUUGUCACUGAAAUUUGGAAACUGCUGUGUAGGAUAGGUGGGAGACUUUGAAACCAAGGCGCUAGCUUUGGUGGAGUCAACCUUGAAAUACCACCCUGAAUUUUCUAGAUUUCUAACCAAACUUCAUUAUCUGGGGUUGGGACAGUGGCUGGUGGGUAGUUUGACUGGGGCGGUCGCCUCCUAAAGAGUAACGGAGGCGCGCGAAGGUUCUCUCAGGCCGUUUGGAAAUCGGCCGUUGAGUGUAAGGACAUAAGAGAGCUUGACUGCGAGACGGACAUGUCGAGCAGGUACGAAAGUAGGUCCUAGUGAUCCGGUGGUUCUGUAUGGAAGGGCCAUCGCUCAUCGGAUAAAAGGUACGCCGGGGAUAACAGGCUGAUCUCCCCCAAGAGUUCACAUCGACGGGGAGGUUUGGCACCUCGAUGUCGGCUCAUCGCAUCCUGGGGCUGAAGAAGGUCCCAAGGGUUUGGCUGUUCGCCAAUUAAAGCGGUACGCGAGCUGGGUUCAGAACGUCGUGAGACAGUUCGGUCCCUAUCUGUCAUGGGCGUAGGAAAUUUGAGGGGAGUUGUCCUUAGUACGAGAGGACCGGGAUGAACGCACCGCUGGUGUUCCAAUUGUUCCGCCAGGAGCAGCGUUGGGUAGCCAUGUGCUGAAUUGAUAAACGCUGAAAGCAUCUAAGCGUGAAGCAAUCCCCAAGAUAAGAUUUCCGAUAACUUUAUGUUAUGUAAGUGCCGUUGGAGACUACAACGUUGAUAGGUCAGGUGUGUAAGGCCCGUAAGGGUUUCAGCUAACUGAUACUAAUUG